GAUGAACGCUGGCGGCGUGCCUAAUACAUGCAAGUCGAGCGAACAGACGAGGAGCUUGCUCCUCUGACGUUAGCGGCGGACGGGUGAGUAACACGUGGAUAACCUACCUAUAAGACUGGUAUAACUUCGGGAAACCGGGGCUAAUACCGUAUAAUAUAUUGAACCGCAUGGUUCAAUAGUGAAAGACGGUUUUGCUGUCACUUAUAGAUGGAUCCGCGCCGCAUGAGCUAGUUGGUAAGGUAACGGCUUACCAAGGCGACGAGGCGUAGCCGACCUGAGAGGGUGAUCGGCCACCCUGGAACUGAGACACGGUCCAGACGCCUACGGGAGGCAGCAGUAGGGAAUCUGCCGCAAUGGGCGAAAGCCUGACGGAGCAACGCCGCGUGAGUGAUGAAGGUCUUCGGAUCGUAAAACUCUGUUAUUAGGGAAGAACAAAUGUGUAAGUAACUAUGCACGUCUUGACGGUACCUAAUCAGAAAGCCACGGCUAACUACGUG
rnacentral:rRNA from 1 species